UACGUAGGGGGCUAGCGUUGUCCGGAAUCAUUGGGCGUAAAGAGCGUGUAGGCGGUCCGGUAAGUCCGCUGUGAAAGUCGGGGGCUCAACCCUCGAAUGCCGGUGGAUACUGUCGGGCUAGAGUGCGGAAGAGGCGAGUGGAAUUCCCGGUGUAGCGGUGAAAUGCGCAGAUAUCAGGAGGAACACCGGUGGCGAAGGCGGGUCUCUGGGCCGACAUUGACGCUGAGGAGCGAAAGCGUGGGGAGCGAACAGG
rnacentral:rRNA from 1 species